GCCACGGCCCGCCUGGGCCGUCAGCUCUCCCGGUCUCGCGUCGUUACUCCUGCGUGAAGCGGUGAGUCGCGCGCGGGUCGGCGACUCACUCUGGGGGUCUCCACCGCUGAACCCUCUUGAAAGACUGACUGGCGGAAACUGGGACUGGAGUGUGAGCAUCUGAGGGGCUCUCCAGUGGGGCUUGGAGAGGAAUGUCUCAAAUGACUUUUCUUGAAAGCUGAGGGAGGUUUUGAAGAUCAAGUGAAGGAAGAGGGCCUAGCUCGUCUACUGGUGGCAUCUUCUCAUCAAUCCUGUCAUCAAUUGCUAGAAAUAUGAGAACUCUCCAGAAGAUCAAGUACCGUGUAGUAGUUACCAUGCACAGGCCCCAUAGAGCCCUGGCCUUUGAGAAUGCCCUAUUCCCCAACCCAAAAGAAGGUAAACAUUUAGAAGAUUUCUCCAGACCCACGGGAUUUUCAUAAAUUGGUAGAGAUUGAUCCAGAUGUGCUUAAAACCAGGGAAAAUGUCAUUUUAAAUGAUGUUAAUUACUGAGAACUUUUAAUAACAUGGGGAAAUGAUUAUAUUAUAAUAUUGUUAAAAAUUCUGCAUGCAAAUUUAACAAGUAUAGAUAAAAUCACCUUAUCUGUAUAAUGAUAUGCAUAGAAGAGAGACUGAAUAGAAAUAUAGCUAAAGUUAAUAUUAGUUCUUCUUUGUGAUGAGAUUUGGGGUUAUUUUUGUUUUUUUCUUUAUACCUCUCUGUAUUUCUGAAUUUUCCAAAUUGAGCAUGUAUUGGUUUUAUAAUCACAAAAUAUGCUUAUAUUUUAAAGAUUAAAAAUUGAGGUAGAGGGUAUAUAACCCAAUGCUAGGAUUGAGAGUCAUCUCCAGGAGAUGUGGUUCCAGGACUCAGAGGUCAGAUAUGUUGGAACCCUGAUGCCUACUUGUCCUCUUGGGAUCUGGCCACAGUGUGCUGCCCCACGCCUAGAAAUUCUGAUUAUGCUCCUACAGUGCCCUCCUGUCUAGUUCAGGUCUCUGAACACUGAUCCUCCCUCCCCUCAGACCUCUAACUCCUGACUCUGAACUUAGACUUUUCUUUCUGGAUUUAUGUGGCCACCCCUCUUUCUCUACUAAUGACUCAACACAACCUCUCCCUCCCUCUCCCACACCUUUCUCCCAACCUUUUGUAUUCUGAGGCUACCCACAGUACUGACAGCUGUGUCCUUCAUGAGCAGGGUGGCUAAAAAGUAGCGGCACAAAAUGAGAGGAGGGGGACAAGAGAAGGGAAAUGCUGAGGGAGAUGCUUCUGAGGUUUCCUUCCUUGUGGGCGUUUGACACUCCUGGCGUCUGUCUACUUCUCUUACUCCUCCUCCUUAGCGGAGGGGCUUAAUCUGCUUUGAGAAUUGAGAAGUACACAGGGCAGGCUCAGCUUAGCUCCUUCUUUCUUCCACUUAGGCAUCACCUGCCCACAGUGAGGAUGUCACCUUGGUCUGCUCCUCUGGGAGCAGGGUCCCCUUCCUACUCCCACUCCUACUCCCAGCGUGAGAAGUCCUGUCCUGGUCAAAUGUUACUUGUGACUGGGUGAACAAGUCGACCUAAUUCUGAAACUCAUUUAGUAUUUAGUAUCCCGUUAUCUCUCACAAUAAACAGACUUUAUCAGCAAUCAACGUGGUUUUUCGGUCUCCAUCUGCUCACUCUUUUGUUUCAUUUCACAUCUUGACCAGAACCCAGGAUAGGGAUUGAGGAAAAGAAUAGGAACUUCUCAGA